AUUGAACGCUGGCGGCGUGCUUAACACAUGCAAGUCGAGCGGCAGCGCGGUAGCAACACUGGCGGCGAGCGGCGAACGGGUGAGUAAUGCUUAUGAAUCUUCCUAGUAGUGGGGAAUAACCAUGGGAAACUCAGGCUAAUACCGCAUACGAACUACGGCUGAAAGCAGGGGAUCGCAAGACCUUGCGCUAUUAGCUGAGCAGAAGUCGGAUUAGCUAGUCGGUGAGGUAAAGGCGCACCACGGCGACGAUCCGUAGCUGGUCUGAGAGGAAGACCGGCGACAAUGGGACUGCGACACGGCGCGGCCUCCUACGGGAGGCAGCAGUGGGGAAUAUUGGAGAAUGGGGGGAACCCUGAUCCAGCGGCGCGGCGUGUGUGAAGAAGGCCUGCGGGUUGUGAAGCACUUUUAGUGGGGAUGAAAAGCCGAGGGCUAAUACCUUUCGGUCUUGACCUAACCCAAAGAAAAAGCACCGGCUAACACUGUGCCAGCAGCCGCCGCAG
rnacentral:rRNA from 1 species